CCUACGGGUGGCAGCAGUGAGGAAUAUUGGUCAAUGGGAGAGAUCCUGAACCAGCCAAGCCGCGUGAGGGAAGACGGCCCUAUGGGUUGUAAACCUCUUUUGUCGGGGAACAAAACCCGGGACGAGUCCCGGACUGCGUGUCUCCGAAGAAAAAGCAUCGGCUAACUCCGUGCCAGCAGCCGCGGUAAUACGGAGGAUGCGAGCGUUAUCCGGAUUUAUUGGGUUUAAAGGGUGCGUAGGCGGGCUGUUAAGUCAGCGGUAAAAUUGCGGGGCGCAACCCCGUCGAGCCGUUGAAACUGGGCGACUUGAGUUGGCGAGAAGGACGCGGAAUGCGCGGUGUAGCGGUGAAAUGCAUAGAUA
rnacentral:rRNA from 1 species